GCGGGAGUAACUCAACGGUAGAGUGUCAGCUUCCCAAGCUGGAGGUUGCGGGUUCGAAUCCCGUCUCCCGCUCCA
rnacentral:tRNA from 1 species